rnacentral:rRNA from 1 species
UACGUAGGGGCAAGCGUUGUCCGGAUUUAUUGGGCGUAAAGAGCUCGUAGGCGGUCUGUCGCGUCUGCUGUGAAAUCCCGAGGCUCAACCUCGGGCCUGCAGUGGGUACGGGCAGACUAGAGUGCGGUAGGGGAGACUGGAAUUCCCGGUGUAGCGGUGAAAUGUGUAGAGAUCGGGAGGAACACCGGUGGCGAAGGCGGGUCUCUGGGCAUCUCCUGACGCUGAGGCGCGAAAGCGUGGGGAUCAAACAGG